GACGAACGCUGGCGGCGUGCUUAACACAUGCAAGUCGUACGGUAAGGCCCUUCGGGGUACACGAGUGGCGAACGGGUGAGUAACACGUGGGUGAUCUGCCCUGCACUUCGGGAUAAGCCUGGGAAACUGGGUCUAAUACCGGAUAGGACUCCUGGCUUCAUGGUUGGGGGUGGAAAGCUUUUGCGGUGUGGGAUGGGGCCGCGGCCUAUCAGCUUGUUGGUGGGGUAAUGGCCUACCAAGGCGACGACGGGUAGCCGGCCUGAGAGGGUGACCGGUCACACUGGGACUGAGAUACGGCCCAGACUCCUACGGGAGGCAGCAGUGGGGAAUAUUGCACAAUGGGCGCAAGCCUGAUGCAGCGACGCCGCGUGAGGGAUGACGGCCUUCGGGUUGUAAACCUCUUUCAGCUAUGACGAAGCGCAAGUGACGGUAGUAGCAGAAGAAGGACCGGCCAACUACGUGCCAGCAGCCGCCGUAAAAC
rnacentral:rRNA from 1 species